UGGGGGUGUUACAGUUGAGGGAGGAUGAGACAAAGCCUGGCAACAGGGCCUAGACAUCGAAGGCGAUGUCUAGCCCCUGUUGCCAAGCUUUGUCUCAUCCUCCCUCAACUGUAACACCCCCAAG
rnacentral:pre_miRNA from 1 species